AUGGAGAAUCGAACCAAAACAAAGUCUAUACUGGCUCGAUCGUCGCCCAGGAUGAAAAGGACCGCGGUGGAUGCUGCUGAUUCUGGACAUCCAUCGACAAGUGGGCUACGGAAUCAUCAAAACCCAAAUGAACAGUCACAGAAGCGGCAGAAAUAUACAAUGCCAGAAAACCGCACAGUCAUGAAAUGCUAUUACAACUCUGAACCUGAAAAGUGCGGCUACCAAAAAAGGAUGCAUCAGCUAUGGAAACAAGAGUACCCUGACUCACAGAUAACAGAAUCCCGACUGGCUGACCAACAAAGAUUCAUAAUCAGAAACAAAGUGUUCAGUGAAGUUGAACUCGAAGAAAUCCAGAAAAUUUGCAAAGUAAAUUACCAUCAGACCACAGCACAGACAGCAUCAGAGACUCCAGCAACACUUGGAAUGGUAGAACAGAUUGAACCAGAAGAAAGUGUGGAGCCUUUGCAAGAAUUUGAAGAACCAGCACUUGAAACACCUGUUGAACCACCAGGAACCUUGACAGCAAGACAACAAGAGCUCAAGAAUAAGAUCAUGGCUCAUGCUGCAGCAAAUGCAAUAAGACAGCGGCUCCCAACUCUAAAAACAGUGCCCAAGAGACACCUGGCGCCUCUCAUGAAAGAUGUGAAUGCCCAAAUAACAUCAAUUGGACAAACAAACCAGUAUGCCUACAGUGCAGCAGUGAUAGUAACAGAAGAGCUAGGGCUCCUACAACCAAGGCAGCCCCAAAGAAAAUCGACUGGAAAACCAAAGUGGAAGGUCAGGCUAGAGUUGAAAAUUAAGAAACUUAAAUCAGAUGCAAGUAACCUGAAAAAUAUGAAAGAGAAGAAACUGAAGAAUGACAAAAUCAAGCAAUACCUGAUCAGAAAGUACUGGCUGAACACCAGAAAAUUUGAAGAAGCCUUGGAAAUUGUGAAAGAACACAUUACAGCAACAGCCAGAAAAAUUGAAAGAUAUGAAGCCAGAAUCAUCCAGUACAGACAAAAUCAACUAUUUCAAUCAGACCAAAGACGGUUCUAUCAGAGCCUGAACCAAACAACAGACACAGUAACUAUAAAGCCAGAGAAAACUGCAACAACGAAGUUCUGGAAAGAGCUUUGGGAAAAUAAUAAGAACUACAACAAAAACGCUGGGUGGAUACAGGAGUUUGAAGGAAAAUUCUCACAGAACAAAAUGGAACAGAUGGAAAUAACAACUGAAAUGAUCAGCAAACGAGUGCAAAAAGUCAAGAACUGGACAUCGCCUGGUAGUGAUCAACUUCAUGGAUUUUGGCUCAAACAUCUGAUUAGUUUACAUGGAAAAAUGGCCCAACAAUUCAAUGAGAUGCUGCAGAAAGGAAGUAUCAGUGAAUGGCUAACAACUGGAAGGACUUACCUGAUACAAAAGGAUCCAGCAAAAGGAGCAGCACCAGGAAACUACAGGCCAAUAACGUGUCUGCCCACUAUGUUUAAACUACUGACUGGCACCAUAGCUGACAGAAUUCAAGACUAUCUUGAAGAAAAAAACAUCUUGCCAGAUGAACAGAAAGGCAACAAACGGAAAAGCAGGGGCACAAAAGACCAGUUAUUGAUUGACAAAAUGAUUCUGGAGAACUGUAAAAGCUGA
ensembl:lncRNA